UACGUAGGGGGCAAGCGUUGUCCGGAUUUAUUGGGCGUAAAGCGCUCGCAGGUGGUCCGUCGCGUCGUGCGUGAAAUACCCCGGCUCAACUGGGGGGGGUCGUGCGAUACGGGCGGACUGGAGGCCAGUAGGGGGAUGCGGAAUUCCGGGUGUAGUGGUGGAAUGCGUAGAGAUCCGGAGGAACACCAGCGGCGAAGGCGGCAUCCUGGACUGGUCCUGACACUCAGGAGCGAAAGCGUGGGGAGCGAUCCGG
rnacentral:rRNA from 1 species